UACAGAGGUGGCAAGCGUUGUUCGGAAUUACUGGGCGUAAAGGGCGCGUAGGCGGCCUUCUAAGUCAGACGUGAAAUCCCCCGGCUUAACCUGGGAACUGCGUCUGAUACUGGGAGGCUUGAGUAUGGGAGAGGGAUGUAGAAUUCCAGGUGUAGCGGUGAAAUGCGUAGAUAUCAAGUGGAACACCAGUGGCGAAGGCGAGUCUCUGGACAUUUCCUGACGCUGAGGCACGAAAGCCAGGGGAGCAAACGGG
rnacentral:rRNA from 1 species